GUGACGAAGCGACGCCGCGUGUGGGAAGAAGGCCUUCGGGUUGUAAACCACUGUCGGGAGUUAGGAAAUGCAGGUGCGUUAAUAGCGCACUUGCUUGACUAAGGCUCCAGAGGAAGCCACGGCUAACUCUGUGCCAGCAGCCGCGGUAAUACAGAGGCGGCAAGCGUUGUUCGGAAUUAUUGGGCGUAAAGAGCACGUAGGCGGCCUUGCAAGUCAGUUGUGAAAGCCUUCCGCUUAACGGAAGAACGGCAUCUGAUACUACAGGGCUUGAGUACGGGAGGGGAGAGUGGAACUUCUGGUGGAGCGGUGAAAUGCGUAGAUAUCAGAAGGAACGCCGGCGGCGAAAGCGACUCUCUGGUCCGAAACUGACGCUGAGUGUGCGAAAGCUAGGGGAGCAAACGGGAUUAGAUACCCCGGUAGUCCUAGCCGUAAACGAUGGGCACUAAGUAGAGGGGUUUUGAUUAUUUCUCUGCCGGAGCUAACGCAUUAAGUGCCCCGCCUGGGGAGUACGGCCGCAAGGCUAAAACUCAAAAGAAUUGACGGGGGCUCGCACAAGCGGUGGAGCAUGUGGCUUAAUUCGAUGCAACGCGAAGAACCUUACCGGGGCUUGACAUGGUAGAAGUAGAAUCCUGAAAGGGUGACGAUCGGUAUCCAGUCCGAAGCUAUCACAGGUGUUGCAUGGCUGUCGUCAGCUCGUGUCGUGAGACGUUGGGUUAAGUCCCCUAACGAGCGAAACCCUUGUCUUUAGUUGCUAACGGGUAAUGCUGAGCACUUUAGAGAGACUGCCGUCGUUAAGACGGAGGAAGGUGGGGACGACGUCAAGUCAUCAUGGCCCUUAUGUCCCGGGCUGCACACGUGCUACAAUGGUCGGUACAAAGGGAUGCUAAGUCGCGAGAUGGUGCGAAACCUAUAAAGCCGAUCUCAGUUCAGAUUGGAGGCUGAAACUCGCCUCCAUGAAGUUGGAAUCGCUAGUAAUCGCGGAUCAGCUACGCCGCGGUGAAUAUGUUCCCGAGCCUU
rnacentral:rRNA from 1 species